rnacentral:rRNA from 1 species
AUUGAACGCUGGCGGCUGGCUUUACACAUGCAAGUCGAGCGAGCGGCGGACGGGUGGGUAAUGUCUUGGAAACUGCCUGAUGUAGGGGGAUCACUACUGGCAACGGUAGCUACUACCGCAUACCAUCAGAUGUGCCCAGAUGGGAUUAGCUAGUAGGUGGGGUAAUGGCUCACCUAGGCGACGAUCCCUAGCUGGUCUGAGAGGAUGACCAGCCACACUGUAACUGAGACACGGCCCAGAUUCCAACGGGAGGGAGAAGUGGGGAAUAUUGCGCAAGGGGUGCAUCGCUGGCGCAGCCUUGCCGCAUGAGUCAGGGAGGUCUUCGGGUUGUAAAGUUCUUUCGGUAGAGCGGCGUUACCUACAGAAGAAUCACCGGCUAACUCCGUGCCAGCAGCCGCGGUAAUAC